UCGAACCCAGGGCCUGUAGCGUUUUUUGAUAUGAGGAUGAAACGCGUACGAGGCCCUGGUACAACAGACUUACUCAACCAAUGAGAAUGCGUAUACGGCUUUUUUAAAUUAUGCUAAAAAGAUAAUAAAUGCAGAAGUAUUUUUUGCAAGCACAGCAUUUUAUAGUAACAACAAAUAUGGCGAUGAGCAUUACGCAGAUUUUUUGGUAACUUGUUUAUGAAGAAAAUAUUUAUUAAUUCACGUUAUUUUUGACUUUCCUUGCAUCGUUACAAAUUUAUCGGUGCUGUUCAAAAUUUUUAAACAUUAUUUUUGUUGUUUCACUGAUGGGAAAAAGGCAGCUGACAAGUCAAAUGGAAUGGUGCGAUGAACAUCUGUCCUGCUAACGAAAGUAGCAGGCAAAGGGAAAGAAAAUAUCACACCACAUAAAGUUUAUAGUGGAUGUGAUAAAGUGUGUAGACUGUGUGCUGAGACUGACUUAAAACGAUUUAGUCAAAUUUUUGGAAAUAUUGGAACAUCAAAACAACUUCAAGAGAAAAUACAAGGCACUGUGGGUAUCACAAUUGUGCAAACUGAUAACAUAAAUGAUAUAAUCUGUCGUAAAUGUGAAAGAAAAAUCGAAAACUUUGUACAAUUUAAGAUUUUGUGUCGGAAUGCACAGAUAAGCUUUCGGAAAAAUUGCAGUGUGAAAAGGGUAAUAUCGUCACCAGAACAAAAAUGUACCACAAAGAAACUCAGAGGUAAAAUAUACAUUCUUUCUUACCUAUGUUUUAAAAAUUACAUAUAUCUUUUUUAUAUAUAAUACUUUAAUACUUUACGAAGGCAUUGUGUCGUAGUACAAAAAUUCACCAUAUGUUCAUCAACUUUAUUUUGUUUUAAACGCCUACUGCUGAUAUCAUGCCCGGUAUAGUACAAUCUUGCCAAUGCUUUUUGCCCUCUUGGACCAGCCCUUCCAAAUUGCUGCAUAUAGUCUUCGAUGGUACUUGGUGGACUUAUAUGGAAAAUUUGUUCGAUAUAGGGUGCAUGAACACCCAUACCAAGCGCAGAAGUUGCUAUUAUAACGCGAAUGUUUGAAACUUCUUUUGCAACUUCAAGGAGAAUUUCGUUUUUCAUUGACUUUGUUUGUGGUGCGUGAAAUUGCACAAUUAAACAAUUGCUAGGGUUUGUUAUGUUUUCAACAUACAUGUGUUCCUUUAAUACAUUUUUUAUUAACUUGUAUAUAUACCCACAAAACCUCAAUCCACAAUAUAUAAUAGUUUGAGGAAAACUUUUCUUUAGUGAUUUUAGCUCCUUUGCAAGUGGCAAGAUGAUAUUUUCAAUACCUUCUUCACCAACUUUUCUCUUUUCUUUGCACAUGUAUACAUUUUUUCUGUUUGGAUUAACAGAUAUUAUUGUUGGGGUUUUCAUUCCAAGUAUAUGUUUUAUUUUAGCCAGUGUUUUUUCUGUUGCGGUAGCUGUAAGUGCGAUAAAAGGUACCUCUCUAAAAAAAGCUCGCAUUGCUCCCAAGUUUUCAAAUUCUUUGCGAAAUUCUUUUCCCCUUAAAGAUAAAGAAAUAUAUAUAUAUUUUAGGAUUAACAUUUUGUUAGUUAUAUAUAAUAAUUUUGUUAGUUAUAUAUAAUUUUAUAUCUGUUUUAUAUUAUAUAUAUACAUUUUUGUUAUUCAGUUGUUGUACAGAUAUUCUUGUCUUUGUUAUUUUAUUAGCAUUUUGCAAUUAACAUUACAUUAUUGCAUAUUUCCUUAUUAGAGAAAUUAUUCUUGUAUAUAUAUAUAUAUACAUAUAUAUAUAAUAUUUAACUUUUUUAAAGUUGUAGCUAUAUAUAUACCUAUAUAAAUAAAGUAGUACUUACCAGGUGUCCAAGCA